AGGACGAACGCUGGCGGCGUGCCUAACACAUGCAAGUCGAACGAGGUCCAACCGGUAGCAAUACUGGUGAAGACCAAGUGGCGAACGGGUGAGUAGCACGUGAGCAACCUGCCCCGAAGACCGGGACAACACCGGGAAACCGGUGCUAAUACCGGAUAUCCCCACCGAAUCGCAUGUCUCGGUGAGGAAAUGGAUUCCGCUUUGGGAGGGGCUCGCGGCCUAUCAGCUUGUUGGUGAGGUAACGGCUCACCAAGGCGUCGACGGGUAGCUGGUCUGAGAGGACGAUCAGCCACACUGGGACUGAGACACGGCCCAGACUCCUACGGGAGGCAGCAGUGGGGAAUCUUGCACAAUGGGCGAAAGCCUGAUGCAGCAACGCCGCGUGAGGGACGAAGGCUUUCUGAGUUGUAAACCUCUUUCAGCAGGGACGAUAGUGACGGUACCUGCAGAAGAACGCCCCGGCAACUAUGUGUCAGCAGCCGCGGUAA
rnacentral:rRNA from 1 species